CAGUAAUUUCCUUCCCCAAAACCCACUACUCGGCAACUUCAGGAAAAUCAAAGAAAUAAAUAAAGCAAAGAAAGAAAAGAAAGAAAGGGAAGAACGGAGAGGGUGAGAAAAGGGGAAGAAGGAAACAGAUCCGCAGAGGAGGAGGAACGGGGAAGAGAGAGAUCUGAAGGGAGAGGAAGACCGUGACUGGCGCUGCCGCCACCUCGCCCAGCUGCUGUGCUUCUCGUUGUUGCCGCCGAAGGGAAGAUGGAGAGAGAGCGCCGUCGAACAGAACGCGAGAAGGGAGAGGAGCUGUGUUCUGUUGUUGACGUCGCACCACCGCCACGCCGCCGUGCUGUGCGAAGUCACCGCCGUCGCCGUCGAGGGUCCAUCCACGCCGUCGCUGGAGCCUGAACGCCGCUGCAACCACUGCGUGUUAUCAUCAGAUCCCGCCACCGUUUGAGUUGCAAACAGGGGAACGCGCGCGAAGGGAACUGUCGCGGAGCUGCCGUCGCCGUCGCGUUGAUGGGCUUGCCGUCGUUCUACUCGUGUGGUUACUGCGUUGCCAGAGCUCCUCGUCGCUGCUGAUGGCACCGGAAACUGCCUUUUAAGCCUGUAUCUGUUGGGAGGAGUCCGAUCAAGAAAAGGAAAAUGGUGGCGAUGGAUACCUCCGCUGCUGCUGUUACUAUCAGUGUUCCGGAGCUUGUAGUUACUGCCGUUUUUGGGUGAUGAACCUGGUUGUGUCCUUGCUGCUAAUUGAUUGUAAUGAGAGACGUUGUAGCCACUACUUUUCAUCUUGGUAAGUUCAUGGGUAAGAUCGCUUUGAUUCUUCUUUGUGCCGUUUUAUUUACGCAGCUAGUUCUGAUCCGUGUAAUUUACCAGAGUCACUAUUGUCAUAUCUCGGCGUUGCCACCCUUGUUUGGAACUACUGAAUGUUGUUGUCUCCGCUAGCAGUAUUCUUCCUAUUUUGAUUUCAACUCCUUUAAUUCUGAAAUUUAUAAUGAUUCUACCUUUAUCCUACUGCUAUUUGGUUUUCUUGCACCACCCUUACUCUAAUCACAGAAAUAUGUUUCAGUUCUAGCCAAUGUCGAUUUAUCUAUUGCAAAGUCAUAAUUGAUAAUAGAGCUGCUAAGAUCGCUACUGCCGCCAUGAAUUGGGGAUAAAGGGGAAUAUUGAGUUAAAUUCUGCGAUUGAAACAUCGAGCUUUAUUUUUUCAGGAACCGGAUGGAGAAGCAUUAGGAAGAGUUAUACUG